rnacentral:rRNA from 1 species
GACGAACGCUGGCGGCGUGCCUAAUACAUGCAAGUCGAACGCUUUUUCUUUCACCGGAGCUUGCUCCACCGAAAGGAAAAGAGUGGCGAACGGGUGAGUAACACGUGGGUAACCUGCCCAUCAGAAGGGGAUAACACUUGGAAACAGGUGCUAAUACCGUAUAACACUAUUUUCCGCAUGGAAGAAAGUUGAAAGGCGCUUUUGCGUCACUGAUGGAUGGAACCGCGGUGCAUUAGCUAGUUGGUGAGGUAACGGCUCACCAAGGCAACGAUGCAUAGCCGACCUGAGAGGGUGAUCGGCCACACUGGGACUGAGACACGGCCCAGACUCCUACGGGAGGCAGCAGUAGGGAAUCUUCGGCAAUGGACGAAAGUCUGACCGAGCAACGCCGCGUGAGUGAAGAAGGUUUUCGGAUCGUAAAACUCUGUUGUUAGAGAAGAACAAGGAUGAGAGUAAAAUGUUCAUCCCUUGACGGUAUCUAACCAGAAAGCCACGGCUAACUACGUGCCAGCAGCCGCCGUAA